rnacentral:lncRNA from 1 species
CCCAGCCCCUCUUGCCUUCAGCAAUUCCUCCCAAACACUCAAAACCCUCCAGCCAAAGUUCCACCGCAGAGACACAUGGACUUCCUCUGUAGACGACUACGGCCCAUCUGUUCUCCCCAAAUGCUUCACUCUUCAGUGGCUUUCCAAGACAUUCUCCAGACUCAGGAAGUAGUCUCAGUGGUGAGAGUUGUGUGUCAGCUGUUUUGGUUUGAAUUUUAAUCUGAAUUCUAUUCCACCGCAGUUUUAGUGCCCCGGUCAUGGUCCACCACUGAAGUGACCUUUGUGCCACCCAGUCUCCCACCUUGACUGUGCUGGUCUGUAUUUGGAGGUCCCAGCCACACCCGGGAAGCCACCAUAGCUCUGCCUGGCAGCCAUGCUCCUGUAGAGGUGGCUGCAAAGCUGAGUUCUGAAGACGUCAGGCUGUACCCCGAGGAGCUAGGAGAAAUGGCCUUUGAAGAAAGAAAGCGUGUGUUGAGCCUGGGGGGAAAGCAGGAGAUGUUCAAGGACGACAAGAAAUUCUGAGCGACUGUGACCCGAUGGGGAUGUGGACAUGGAGAGGAGCACUAAGCAGGAGCACCAGCGCUCAGCUGGACGAGGACUGGUAAGCCCUCUGCAGGAGACAGGCGCGUCUCCCGCACCCUCCUUGAGGUGGCUGUGGUGAGGAGCUCUAUGGAGACGGCGUUUCCUGUCCACCGGGUGGACAGUGGAGCACCAGGUUGCCUUCUUAGAAGGCCAUACAGAAAGCCCUGGGAGGUCCUGCGACCUCACACCUGAGCUCUCUUCAAUCUGCAAUUCCAUGUUUUUAUUAUCUGGGAAUCUAAUCAGAAAGUCGGGAAAUUGCAGCGCGUAUUGGCAAGUGUCAUGAGCAGCACAUAAAUCAUUGCGUUGAACUGGUAAACCCUGGACCCUGGACUUAUGGGAAGCUGCCCUGAGAGGGUCUCAGGGGAACAGCGCUUUGCAAGACAGCUCCUAUGGACAGGGAGGAUUCCUGCUGGUCCUGGAAUUCACCAGGUCCAAAGCCAUGAUUUCCCAGCUGCCCAGAGGUAGAAGAGAUGGGCAUAAACUGCUAAGCCCCCACCAAGUUGUUGUUCUCAACUUCCUCCUGUUCACCUCCAGAAGUUCCUCACGCUGAAACCCUUGAACGCUCACAUAACAAAGGAGCAGGCUUUCGUCCCCUUGUUAGAUCCAGCCUCCAUCAGAGCUUGGAUCACCACCGGCUCCAUUUUCCUGACCUGUGUCCUUAUUUCUUAAUGUCUCUUUUGACUUUUAUUUUCUGAAGCCGGCUCACAGUCUGCGUUAGGUGAACUGUUUGUCCGCGUCCCAGGCUGCGCUGGACAGGCGAGGGCAGAGCCUCUUGGACAACAUGAUGCUAGAGGCGGAACCCUAAACAAAAUGCUCAGGACCCCUGUAAGCAAGGUCAAGAACUUUCUGGAAACGGUAGGCAGGGGACUGAGGACUCUGAACUAAGAAAAUGAACUUUUCAGUGCCUAUUUUGUGGAAAUAGAAGCAUCCGGAAGAGGAUCCAUAGACUCUAGAGAAGAAAUUAAAAUUAGAUUAUUAUACAAUACAUCCUUCAUCUGUUUCUCCAUGAGGAGGAUUUAAUGCUGUAUGUAAUUAUAGUUUAUUAUAUAAAAUUCAGCUUAAGA